UGAGUAACACGCAUCCAACCUGCCGUCUACUCUUGGACAGCCUUCUGAAAGGAAGAUUAAUACAAGAUGGCAUCAUGAGUCCGCAUGUUCACAUGAUUAAAGGUAUUCCGGUAGACGAUGGGGAUGCGUUCCAUUAGAUAGUAGGCGGGGUAACGGCCCACCUAGUCUUCGAUGGAUAGGGGUUCUGAGAGGAAGGUCCCCCACAUUGGAACUGAGACACGGUCCAA
rnacentral:rRNA from 1 species